UACGUAGGUGGCAAGCGUUGUCCGGAAUUAUUGGGCGUAAAGCGCACGUAGGCGGCUUUCUAAGUCAGGGGUGAAAUCCUGGAGCUCAACUCCAGAACUGCCUUUGAUACUGGAGAGCUUGGGUCCGGGAGAGGUGAGUGGAACUCCGAGUGUAGAGGUGAAAUUCGUAGAUAUUCGGAAGAACACCAGUGGCGAAGGCGGCUCACUGGCCCGGUACUGACGCUGAGGUGCGAAAGCGUGGGGAGCAAACAGG
rnacentral:rRNA from 1 species